rnacentral:misc_RNA from 1 species
GAUGAAGAACGCAGCGAAAUGCGAUACUUGGUGUGAAUUGCAGAAUCCCGUGAACCAUCGAGUCUUUGAACGCAAGUUGCGCCCGAAGCCACUAGGCCGAGGGCACGCCUGCCUGGGCGUCACACGCCGUUGCCCCCCCAUCUACUCCUUCGGGAUUGCGGGGGGGCGGAUGAUGGCCUCCCGUGCGCCUAGCCGCGCGGUUGACAUAAAUACCAAGUCCUCGGCGACGCACGCCACGACAAUCGGUGGUUGCGAAACCUCGGUUGCCCGUCGUGUGCGUUCGUCGCGCAUCGAGGGCUCGAAAAAAUGCUCGGCUCCGGCUGGGCUUUCAACGCGACCCCAGGUCAGGCGGGGUUACCCGCUGAAUUUAAGCAUAUCAAUAAGCGGAGGA